UUAACUCAAAUUUGUGUGGAGUUCGAAUGUUUGCCUACGUUUGCCGCUAGGGGCGCUGUUCCAACUCCAUAGAAAUUUGAGUUA
rnacentral:pre_miRNA from 1 species